UUAGAUUUAAAUCUGAUUUAAUUUUUUAAUCAAGUUAAUUCAAGUCCUAAUUGAACUAGGACUAGUUUUUCAUUGCACUUGGCUUAUCCAAUAAACCAAUUGGACUUGAUCCAAUCAAGUCUAAACCAAAUCUAAUUAAAUCAUAUUCAAUUAGACUUAAUCUCAGCCCUUUGGCUUAAUCAAAUUAAGUCAAUUAGUAAUCGAAUUGCUAAUCGAUCCUCCUUCAAUACUUGCACUAGGUUAAAGGUCAAUCAUAUUGAUUGUUUAACCUUAGAACGAUUCUUAAUCGUUGAUCAACC
rnacentral:lncRNA from 1 species